rnacentral:rRNA from 3 species
GCGGCGGACGGGUGAGUAACACGUGGGCAACCUGCCCGCAAGACCGGGAUAACUCCGGGAAACCGGAGCUAAUACCGGAUAACACCAAAGACCGCAUGGUCUUUGGUUGAAAGGCGGCUUCGGCUGUCACUUGCGGAUGGGCCCGCGGCGCAUUAGCUAGUUGGUGAGGUAACGGCUCACCAAGGCGACGAUGCGUAGCCGGCCUGAGAGGGUGACCGGCCACACUGGGACUGAGACACGGCCCAGACUCCUACGGGAGGCAGCAGUAGGGAAUCUUCCGCAAUGGACGAAAGUCUGACGGAGCGACGCCGCGUGAGCGAAGAAGGCCUUCGGGUCGUAAAGCUCUGUUGUGAGGGACGAAGGAGCGCCGUUUGAAUAAGGCGGCGCGGUGACGGUACCUCACGAGAAAGCCCCGGCUAACUACGUGCCAGCAGCCGCGGUAAUAC